GAUGAACGCUGACAGAAUGCUUAACACAUGCAAGUCUACUUGAAGCUAACUUCGGUUAGUGGAGGGUGGCGGACGGGUGAGUAACGCGUAAAGAACUUGCCUCACAGAUUGGGACAACAUUUGGAAACGAAUGCUAAUACCGGAUAUUAUGAUACUUCCGCAUGGAAGAAUCAUGAAAGCUAUAUGCGCUGUGAGAGAGCUUUGCGUCCCAUUAGCUAGUUGGAGAGGUAACGGCUCACCAAGGCGAUGAUGGGUAGCCGGCCUGAGAGGGUGAACGGCCACAAGGGGACUGAGACACGGCCCUUACUCCUACGGGAGGCAGCAGUGGGGAAUAUUGGACAAUGGACCAAAAGUCUGAUCCAGCAAUUCUGUGUGCACGAUGAAGUUUUUCGGAAUGUAAGGUGCUUUCAGUUGGGAAGAAGCAAGUGACGGUACCAACAGAAGAAGCGACGGCUAAAUACGUGCCAGCAGCCGCGGUAAUACGUAUGUCGCAAGCGUUAUCCGGAUUUAUUGGGCGUAAAGCGCGUCUAGGUGGUUAUAUAAGUCUGAUGUGAAAAUGCGGGGCUCAACUCCGUAUUGCGUUGGAAACUGUGUGACUAGAGUACUGGAGAGGUAAGCGGAACUACAAGUGUAGAGGUGAAAUUCGUAGAUAUUUGUAGGAAUGCCGAUGGGGAAGCCAGCUUACUGGACAGAUACUGACGCUAAAGCGCGAAAGCGUGGGUAGCAAACAGG
rnacentral:rRNA from 1 species